rnacentral:rRNA from 1 species
AUUGAACGCUGGCGGCAGGCUUAACACAUGCAAGUCGAGCGGGGUGAGGUGCUUCGGUACUGAUCCUAGCGGCGGACGGGUGAGUAAUGCUUAGGAAUCUGCCCGGUAGUGGGGGACAACGUUUCGAAAGGAACGCUAAUACCGCAUACGUCCUACGGGAGAAAGCAGGGGACCUUCGGGCCUUGCGCUACCAGAUGAGCCUAGGUCGGAUUAGCUAGUAGGUGGGGUAAUGGCUCACCUAGGCGACGAUCCGUAACUGGUCUGAGAGGAUGGGCAGGCAGACGGGAACGGAGACGCGGGCCAGGCGCCGACGGGAGGCAGCAGUGGGGAAUAUUGGACAAGGGGGGAAAGCCUGAUCCAGCCAUGCCGCGUGGGGGAAGAAGGUCUUCGGAUUGUAAAGCACUUUAAGUUGGGAGGAAGGGCAGUAAGUUAAUACCUUGCUGUUUUGACGUUACCAACAGAAUAAGCACCGGCUAACUUCGUGCCAGCAGCCGCCGUAACAC